rnacentral:tRNA from 1 species
GGAUCCAUAGCUCAGUGGUAGAGUAUUUGACUGCAGAUCAAGAGGUCACCGGUACUUACCCGGUUGGGCA